UAUUGCUUAAGAAGGCUAUUUAACAACACAUUUGUAUCGGCGAAAAACAAAAAACAAAAAAUAGUGCACAGUGUAGAGCGGAGGAGUCGUGAAUUGCCUAACCAAUCACAAUGCACGCGCCCUACUCUGAACCGACGCAGGAGUUCAACACCGCUAAUUAGCAAGAAUUUAAUGUUGCUAAAUAUUAUUUAAUAAAAAAAUAAAUAUUUUUUAACUCCGUUGUCGUAUACCGUCGAAGAAGAGCCUCUUUAUCCAGACAGACGACCUGGACUCGGCACUUUGAGGACAUGACAUGUAUGAAAAUAUCGGACAGGGGAUGGAUGGCAACCCAAAGAGGCCCAAAUUUAUUGGGAUGAAGGAUUCUGGAUGCAAAGCUGCUGAUGGACACAUUUUGACUGCUCCUGCCAUGAUGAGCAACCUUUUCACCUGCAUGUAAGUCACAAUUCUUCUUAACAUAAGGCAGU